rnacentral:rRNA from 1 species
AUUGAACGCUGGCGGCAGGCCUAACACAUGCAAGUCGAGCGGGAGGCGGACGGGUGAGUAAUGUCUGGGAACCUGCCUGAUGGAGGGGGAUAACUACUGGAAACGGUAGCUAAUACCGCAUACCAUCAGAUGUGCCCAGAUGGGAGGGGCUAGUAGGUGGGGUAAUGGCUCACCUAGGCGACGAUCCCUAGCUGGUCUGAGAGGAUGACCAGCCACACGGGAACGGAGACACGGUCCAGACUCCGACGGGAGGCAGCAGUGGGGAAUAUGGCACAAUGGGCGCAAGCCUGAUGCAGCCAUGCCGCGUGUAUGAAGAAGGCCUUCGGGUUGUAAAGUAUUGUCAGCGAGGAGGCGUUACUCGCAGAAGAAGCACCGGCUAACUCCGUGCCAGCAGCCGCGGUAAUAC